rnacentral:rRNA from 1 species
CCUACGGGAGGCAGCAGUCGAGAAUCAUUCACAAUGGGGGAAACCCUGAUGGUGCGACGCCGCGGGGGGGAAUGAAGGUCUUCGGAUUGUAAACCCCUGUCAUGUGGGAGCAAAUUAAAAAGAUAGUACCACAAGAGGAAGAGACGGCUAACUCUGUGCCAGCAGCCGCGGUAAUACAGAGGUCUCAAGCGUUGUUCGGAAUCACUGGGCGUAAAGCGUGCGUAGGCUGUUUCGUAAGUCGUGUGUGAAAGGCGCGGGCUCAACCCGCGGACGGCACAUGAUACUGCGAGACUAGAGUAGUGGAGGGGGAACCGGAAUUCUCGGUGUAGCAGUGAAAUGCGUAGAUAUCGAGAGGAACACUCGUGGCGAAGGCGGGUUCCUGGACAUUAACUGACGCUGAGGCACGAAGGCCAGGGGAGCGAAAGGGAUUAGAUACCCCUGUAGUC